CUACAAAUAAGUCAAGAUGACCCAAAAUGGUCAGUUGACCCUUUAAGGAGUAAUGCCCCUUUAUAAUCAAUUUUUAACAAUUUUUGGUAAAUUUUUGUUAUCUUUUACAAAAAUCUUCUCCUCUGAAACUGCUAGGACAAAUUAAACCAAACUUGUCCACAAUCAUCAUUCAUUAUUAGGUAUCUAGUUUAAAAAAUGACCCCCCC
rnacentral:lncRNA from 1 species